GUAGGUGGCAAGCGUUGUCCGGAAUUAUUGGGGCGUAAAGCGCGCGCAGGCGGUUCUUUAAGUCUGAUGUGAAAGCCCACGGGCUCAACCGUGGAGGGUCAUUGGAAACUGGAGAACUUGAGUACAGAAGAGGAGAGCGGAAUUCCACGUGUAGCGGUGAAAUGCGUAGAGAUGUGGAGGAACACCAGUGGCGAAGGCGGCUUUCUGGUCUGUAACUGACGCUGAGGCGCGAAAGCGUGGGGAGCAAACAGGAUUAGAUACCCUGGUAGUCCACGCCGUAAACGAUGAGUGCUAAGUGUUAGGGGGUUUCCGCCCCUUAGUGCUGCAGCUAACGCAUUAAGCACUCCGCCUGGGGAGUACGGCCGCAAAGGCUG
rnacentral:rRNA from 1 species